AGUCGAGAAUCAUUCACAAUGGACGAAAGUCUGAUGGUGCAACGCCGCGUGGAGGAUGAAGGCCCUAGGGUCGUAAACUCCUGUCAUCGGAGAGUAAGCCUUGGUCGUUAAUAGCUUCCAAGGUUGAUAGUAUCCGAAGAGGAAGGGACGGCUAACUUCGUGCCAGCAGCCGCGGUAAUACGAAGGUCCCAAGCGUUGUUCGGAUUUACUGGGCGUAAAGAGUCUGUAGGCGGUGUGGUAAGUCAGAUGUGAAAUCCCGGGGCUCAACCCCGGAACUGCAUCCGAUACUGCCACACUAGAGUAUUGGAGGGGAGUCUGGAAUUCUCGGUGUAGCAGUGAAAUGCGUAGAUAUCGAGAGGAACACUAGUGGCGAAGGCGAGACUCUGGACAAUAACUGACGCUGAGAGACGAAGGCCAGGGUAGCGAAAAGGAUUAGAUACCCUUGUAGUCCUGGCAGUAAACGGUGCUCGCUUGGUGUGGGGAGGUUCGACCCUUUCCGUGCCGGAGCUAACGCGUUAAGCGAGCCGCCUGGGGAGUACGGCCGCAAGGCUAAAACUCAAAGAAAUUGACGGGGACCCGCACAAGCGGUGGAGUAUGUGGCUUAAUUCGAUGCAACGCGAAGAACCUUACCUAGGCUUUUGCUAAGCACGUGAAAGCGUGUGACCCUUCGGGGACCUUACACAGGUGCUGCAUGGCCGUCGUCAGCUCGUGUCGUGAGAUGUUUGGUUAAGUCCAGCAACGAGCGCAACCCCUGUGAAUAGUUGCCAGCACGUAAUGGUGGGGACUCUAUUCAGACUGCCCAGGUCAACUGGGAGGAAGGUGGGGAUGACGUCAGGUCAGUAUGGCCCUUACGUCUGGGGCUGCACACGUACUACAAUGCCCAGUACAAUGAGAACCGAGACCGCGAGGUGGAGGAAAUCUGCAAAACU
rnacentral:rRNA from 1 species